rnacentral:lncRNA from 1 species
GGCCGGAAAAUGGCGGCGGGAAUGGGCUAGAGCCGAACCUCACCGGCCGUCUGGGAACAAGUGCGGAGCAGGAUAAUCGAUUCAGCAACAAACAGAAGAAACUCCUCAAGCCUCCCAAGAGGACAUCCAGCCCUCCUCGGAAAACUCGUAGGUUAUCACCUUCGGCAAGUCCUCCGAGGCGAAGGCACCGGCCGUCAUCUCCAGCAACUCCGCCACCCAAAACUCGCCAUUCCCCAACUCCCCAGCAGUCAAACCGUGCAAGAAAAAGUCGUGUGUCUGUGUCUCCAGGAAGAACCUCGGGUAAAGUGACAAAACAUAAAGGCACUGAGAAAAGAGAGUCACCUUCUCCAGCACCC